GAAACAAUAUUUCUCCAAAAUUGAAUUACUAUGAAGAUCAUAUUCUCACUUUUCAUUAUUAUACUUCUUUCUAUUGGAAUUGAAAAUGAGGGGCCAAUGAUAGUGGUAGAGGGGAAGAUCUGUGAUGUAAAGUUGUAUGACUUCUGUGAUCAGAGCUGUUUCAGGGAUUGUCCAAAGAUUUAUGGGCCAAAAGCAGCUAGUAUUUGUAAUUUUAAUCCUGAAGAGUGCAUAUGUCGUAGACAGUGUUAAGUGAUUACUACAAAAGGCAUGCUGGAUUCAAAUAAUUAAAAUAGUUAUUUUGUUUA